GCACCCCUAACAGCUAGCCCCCCCUCCCAAAAGCAACAAACACCAUUAAUAACCCCUUAUAAACUAUAUUAAGCAAGCAACAAACCAUUUUUCCUCCCUAGUAUGGGCGAC
rnacentral:rRNA from 1 species